UUUAGAUAGUGCAACUAUUUUCUUGUUGUCAAACCCCUCAAUUAGACCUGUAAAAAAUAGUUAAACACAACAUUAUUCUUGAUUUCUAAUUAUCCAUCAAUUUGUUGCUGUUCAAGAUGCAUUCGCCAUUAAAUGGGGGUGAUCGACAAAGGCUUAAAUCUGCACACUUUUUAGUUAGUUUGUUUUGAUACUUCAGUCAGAUGGCCGUCUUACACAUCCAGACUCUGAUAUUUCUUUAAUUAUUUACAGAUGAAGUAUUUAACUUGACGCACGUAACAAAGGGGCCUUUGGAGUGACUGCGGACCCGCUUUGAACCGGCCGCAUCUAACAGAGUUGGAUCACCUUUGCUGAUUUAUUGCACCAGCUCCCCAGCCUCAGAAAAUACUCUUUCACAUGGUUCAGAUGACGAUAGUGAGCAGAGUUUUAAAUGAAAGCGCUUUUUGUUAUUCAUUUUUGUGCUCUCUGGUACCUGUUUUGACCAGCGCUUUCUGUUACU